UAUGACACUUAAGCAUAGGUGGA
rnacentral:miRNA from 1 species